rnacentral:rRNA from 1 species
UACAGAGGGGGCAAGCGUUGUCCGGAAUCAUUGGGCGUAAAGAGCGUGUAGGCGGCCCGGUAAGUCCGCUGUGAAAGUCCAGGGCUCAACCCUGGAAUGCCGGUGGAUACUGUCGGGCUCGAAUCCGGAAGAGGUGAGUGGAAUUCCACGUGUAGCGGUGAAAAUGCGUAGAGAUGUGGAGGAACACCAGUGGCGAAGGCGGCUUUUUU